AGUCCUUGGGAGCUGCUGUUAAUUAGCAAACAGACAGCUGAAAUGAGCACUUUAUCUUCUGCAUUCAUCAAAUAAAAGCCACCAGCUCUUCUCCCAGAUAGCUGCUAAGAGAUCAACAUCCUUGAGGCUGCUGCUUCUACUGCCUACUUAAUCAAUGGUUCCAAAAGUCUGGGGGAGGGAUGGGAGAGUAGGAAGCACAGAAACAUACACAAAAUUUGAUUGAAAUCAGCCUGGGGAAAGCCAGCUCCAUCUGAUUGUAUCAGUACAGGAUAACAUAAAUGAGAAGGUAGUUCCCAAUGACACCAAUAAAAACCACUAGCGAGUAGCAGGGGAUGAUGAGUGGCUUGAAGGACUGAACAAACUGGAGCCC